rnacentral:rRNA from 1 species
GACGAACGCUGGCGGCGUGCCUAAUACAUGCAAGUAGAACGCAGAUGCGAACGGGUGAGUAACGCGUAGGUAACUGCCUCAUAGCGGGGGAUUAAUAUUGGAAAAGAUAGCUAAUACCGCAUACUGUGAGAUGGACCUGCGUUGUAUUAGGUAGUUGGUGAGGUAAAGGCUCACCAAGGCGACGAUACAUAGCCGACCUGGGAGGGUGGUCGGGCAACAUGGGAACUGGACCAGGGCCAGAACCCUACGGGGAGCAGCAGGAGGGGAAUUUCGGAAAAGGGCGGAAGUCUGACCGAGGAACGCCGGGGGAGAGGAUGAGGGUUUUGGGGCGUAAAGCUCUGUUGUUAGGGAAGCGGUAACUAACCAGAAAGGGCCGGCUAACUACGUGCCAGCAGCCGCGGUAAUUC